AUUGAACGCUGGCGGAAUGCUUUACACAUGCAAGUCGAACGGCAGCACGGACUUCGGUCUGGUGGCGAGUGGCGAACGGGUGAGUAAUACAUCGGAACGUGCCCAGUCGUGGGGGAUAACGUAGCGAAAGCUACGCUAAUACCGCAUACGAUCUAAGGAUGAAAGCGGGGGAUCGCAAGACCUCGCGCGAUUGGAGCGGCCGAUGGCAGAUUAGGUAGUUGGUAGGGUAAAGGCCUACCAAGCCGACGAUCUGUAGCUGGUCUGAGAGGAUGAUCAGCCACACUGAGACUGAGACACGGCCCAGACUCCUACGGGAGGCAGCAGUGGGGAAUUUUGGACAAUGGGCGCAAGCCUGAUCCAGCCAUUCCGCGUGCAGGAUGAAGGCCUUCGGGUUGUAAACUGCUUUUGUACAGAACGAAAAGGCUCUGGUUAAUACCCGGGGCUCAUGACGGUACUGUAAGAAUAAGCACCGGCUAACUCUGUGCCAGCCGCCGCCGUAA
rnacentral:rRNA from 1 species